CGGGGGCUGGCGGUGCUAAGCAGCAGGAAGCAGCCCAGCUGGAUGAGGAGCGCUGGCUGUAGAGACUCCUCUGCUGGGCCCUGCCACCCGGCAGGAUUCCCACGGAGGAGCUGCACCCACAUCCCACCAAAACCUCCAAUUUCUGCAGAAUAAAGCUGAGUCCCAGAGAAGGGAAGAGACUUGCCCAAGUCACCAACAGGUCAAUAAUCAUGGGGGCCCAGACAGGGAAGCCCAAGUGGCCCGACUGCAGCCCAUCAUCGGUAGCUAAGUCCAAGCAGAUGAGUCCCUGGGGCAGAAGGAAGAGUCAAAUGGCCCUGUGAACACGGAAGGUAAAGAAAAACCCCACUUCAUUCCAAGGAAGCAUGUAGCAAGAUGUCAAAAACAGACAUCCCGGUGACAUGGAGUUGCAGGGGGAAAUAGUGUGAGGACUCUGGAAGGAGCAAGGCAUGAAGGACUGCACGUGUGGUCCUGCGCUGAUGUGAGGAGCAAGUGCACGGAGUCCCCACAGCAGGAGGGGGGACGGGAAUGAGCUGUAGGUUGCUGGGUGGAGAGCCUUCCCACCGGAAUGCCUGAGAGGAGGCGAGGACGCCGGGCCCCUCCACGCUUUUCCCUGGGCUCCACGCUGCUCUGUGAAAGGGAAGGGAAUCAUCCAUCUGGAAUAUGAAGGAAGAAUAACAAAACCUCACUGUCCACCCCAGAGAAGACACGGUCACAGAGGCUGCAUGCCACACUGCGGGUGCCACAGGGAGCCUGUCUACACAGCGUCCUCACACUGCAGGUGCCACAGGGAGCCUGCCUACACAGCGUCCUCACACUGCAGGUGCCACAGGGAUCCUGUCUACACAGCGUCCUCCAACUGCAGGUGCCACAGGGACCCUGUCUACACAGCGUCCUCACACUGCAGGUGCCACAGGGAUCCUGUCUACACAGCGUCCUCCAACUGCAGGUGCCACAGGGAGCCUGUCUACACAUCAAACUGAAGGCUCCACAGGGACCCAGUC
rnacentral:lncRNA from 10 species